rnacentral:rRNA from 1 species
GAUGAACGCUAGCGAUAGGCCUAACACAUGCAAGUCGAGGGGCAUCACAUGAAGUAGCAAUACGGAUGGUGGCGACCGGCGCACGGGUGAGUAACACGUAUGCAACCUGCCUUCAACAAGGGGAUAACCCGUUGAAAAACGGACUAAUACCCUAUAAUACAGGGGUCCCGCAUGGGGAUAUUUGUUAAAGAUUGAUCGGUUGAAGAUGGGCAUGCGUUCCAUUAGCUGGUUGGUGAGGUAACGGCUCACCAAGGCAACGAUGGAUAGGGGAACUGAGAGGUUUAUCCCCCACACUGGUACUGAGACACGGACCAGACUCCUACGGGAGGCAGCAGUGAGGAAUAUUGGUCAAUGGACGCAAGUCUGAACCAGCCACGUCGCGUGAAGGAAGACGGCCCUACGGGUUGUAAACUUCUUUUGUAAGGGAAUAAAGUGUAGUACGCGUACUAUUUUGCAUGUACCUUACGAAUAAGGAUCGGCUAACUCCGUGCCAGCAGCCGCGGUAAUUA